GACAGCCAGGAUGUUGGCUUAGAAGCAGCCAUCAUUUAAAGAAAGCGUAAUAGCUCACUGGUCGAGUCGGCCUGCGCGGAAGAUGUAACGGGGCUAAACCAUGCACCGAAGCUGCGGCAGCGACACUGUGUGUUGUUGGGUAGGGGAGCGUUCUGUAAGCCUGCGAAGGUGUCUCGUGAGGCAUGCUGGAGGUAUCAGAAGUGCGAAUGCUGACAUAAGUAACGAUAAAGCGGGUGAAAAGCCCGCUCGCCGGAAGACCAA
rnacentral:rRNA from 1 species